GACGAACGCUGGCGGCGUGCUUAACACAUGCAAGUCGAGCGGUAAGGCCCUUUCGGGGGUACACGAGCGGCGAACGGGUGAGUAACACGUGGGUGACCUGCCUUUAGCUCUGGGAUAAGCCUGGGAAACCGGGUCUAAUACCGGAUAUGACUCCGCGGCGCAUGUUGUGGGGUGGAAAGCCUUGUGCGGCUGGAGAUGGGCCCGCGGCCUAUCAGCUUGUUGGUGGGGUGAUGGCCUACCAAGGCGACGACGGGUAGCCGGCCUGAGAGGGCGACCGGCCACACUGGGACUGAGACACGGCCCAGACUCCUACGGGAGGCAGCAGUGGGGAAUCUUGCGCAAUGGGCGAAAGCCUGACGCAGCGACGCCGCGUGAGGGAUGACGGCCUCGGUUGUAACGU
rnacentral:rRNA from 1 species